rnacentral:rRNA from 1 species
GAUGAACGCUGGCGGCGUGCCUAAUACAUGCAAGUCGAGCGAACAGACGAGGAGCUUGCUCCUCUGACGUUAGCGGCGGACGGGUGAGUAACACGUGGAUAACCUACCUAUAAGACUGGGAUAACUUCGGGAAACCGGAGCUAAUACCGGAUAAUAUAUUGAACCGCAUGGUUCAAUAGUAAAAGACGGUUUUGCUGUCACUUAUAGAUGGAUCCGCGCCGCAUUAGCUAGUUGGUAAGGUAACGGCUUACCAAGGCAACGAUGCGUAGCCGAGCUGAGAGGGUGAUCGGCCACACUGGAACUGAGACACGGUCCAGACUCCUACGGGAGGCAGCAGUAGGGAAUCUUCCGCAAUGGGCGAAAGCCUGACGGAGCAACGCCGCGUGAGUGAUGAAGGUCUUCGGAUCGUAAAACUCUGUUAUUAGGGAAGAACAAAUGUGUAAGUAACUAUGCACGUCUUGACGGUACCUAAUCAGAAAGCCACGGCUAACUACGUG